rnacentral:snoRNA from 1 species
UCACCAAUGGCAGGGAUAUGAUUGCCAAUGAUUCGGCUAUCACAACGUGCAUCUGAGG